GUGUAUGGAAUAUCUAAUUCUAUUAUGAAAAAUUAAUGAUUUAAGUCCUUCUUAAAUGAGGCCAUUUACCCAUAGAGGGUGCCAGGCCCGUAGAACAUUAAUGAUUAUUAGAAGAUGUUUCCAAAGAGUCGUGUUGCUUGAUAGUGCAGCACUAAGAGGGUGGUAAACUCCAUCUAAAACUAAAUAUAACCAUGAGACCGAUAGUAAACAAGUACCGUGAGGGAAAGUUGAAAAGAACUCUGAAUAGAGAGUUAAAUAGUACGUGAAACUGCUUAGAGGUUAAACCCGAUGAACCUGAAUAUCCAAUAUAGAGAAUUCAUCAUUAAGGCAAUAAUUAUUAUUAUUGUAAUGUUGUGCAUUUUCUCUAUAUAAAAAUUGGACAUUGUAAUCUAUUAAUAUAAUUUAUUUAUCAAAAGAUCAUUAGCAUACGCUUAUUUUAAUUAAUUGGUUUCGGCUAAUUAAAAUAAAAUAAUUGCUUUUGAUUUGAUAAAGUAUUGAUAGAUUUAAUCAUAUGUAUAAUGCAUAAAUUCUAUUAGAAUUUUAUAAUAUAGAAAUAUAUUAUAAGCAUUAAUACGAUUUACAAUGCGAAAGAUUCAGGAUACCUUCGGGACCCGUCUUGAAACACGGACCAAGGAGUCUAACAUAUGUGCAAGUCUUUGGGAAUUAUUUAUAUGAAACCCAAUGGCAUAAUUAAAAUAACUAAAAUGGGAUUAGUUUUUAAUUCAAUAUGAAUUAUUAAUUCAAUCCCAGGGCGUUCUAUAUAGUUAUGUAUAAUAACAUUUAUGUUAUUUAUACCUCUAACUGGAGCGUACCUUUAGCAUAUAUGCUGUGACCCGAAAGAUGGUGAACUAUACUUGAUCAGGUUGAAGUCAGGGGAAACCCUGAUGGAAGA
rnacentral:rRNA from 1 species